rnacentral:lncRNA from 1 species
CCUGAGGAGUCCCUCCCUUGAACUUGCACACAGCAGAGGCCAUGUGACCACACAGCAAGAAGUGGGAGACUCUGCCAGGCGCCAUCCCCCCAGCACCGGCUGUCGGGCUUUCGGCCUCCAGGACAGUGGGGAUGCAUCGCUAUGGUUGAAGCCCCUCUGCAUGGGGUCCUUUGUUAGGGCAGCUGGAGCAGACUGACACAGGGGCCUGCAAGUACACCUGGAGCUCGCCCCUUUGCUGCCCCAACCCUGCCAGGGUCCUCUCUUCAGUGAUGCCCGUGGGGGUGGGGAGGUCCUAUCAGAUCUGGGGGCCAAAGCCUGAAUCCCAGAGGUGUGGUCCUUUCUUUAUAAGCUUGGGGUGGGGCCUUUAGUAACUUUAUCUGUGGAGUCUUAGUUCCCUUUCUUUUCUCUUUUUCUUCUUUUAUUUGGUUUUUUGAGACAGGGACUCACUGUGUAGUUCAGACUGGCCUUAAACUCCUUAUGUAGCCUAGGCUGGCCUCCAACUUGAGGUGAUUCUCCCGCCUCAGCCUUACCCAGUGCUGGGUUGACAGGCAUGAGCUAUCAUACCUGGUGAUGCUCUUCUUUAUGAGGGAGAAAACUGUACUUAUCUCCAAAGGGAAGCUCCUGGGAGUAGUGCUCUCAGAAUGCCCAACCUGAGCAGAGUGUGCGUCAGGUGCUCCCUGAAACUCACCAUCAUGUUCGCAUCCUCCCUGAGACUCGAGGGUGGAUGAAGUGAAGACAGGACAUGCUGGGCCAAAGGGAGUGUGCUGGCUGCAGAAGUCGGCUGUCUCCACCUUCCAUCAGGGCUUGUCAGGAGGAGGACAGAGCCUUGGCACCUGAGCUGCUGCCUGGAGGAGGCCCAGACAGAUCCAAGCUCUGGACCAAAGGCAGCCGGUGGAUGUGCUUGGGGGGCCAGGAUGACAGCGAGGGCCCUGUGCCAGCCUUUCCCAAGACCCUGUUCUCCAGUGCUGGGAAGACAUCAGGCCGGCCUCCCCCUUUAUUUCAGGAACACAUUUUUAAUUUCCAAAAUAUGUAAUUAGUUCUUUCUCAUAACUGUUAAUUCUUAUUUUUACAGUGACAUCCUUGGUUAUCUCUCAGG